UACAGAGGGGGCAAGCGUUAUUCGGAAUUAUUGGGCGUAAAGGGCGCGUAGGCGGCUUGGCAAGUGGAAGGUGAAAUCCCUCGGCUUAACCGAGGGACUGCCUUCCAGACUGCUUUGCUUGAGGCCGGGAGAGGCGAGUGGAAUUCCCAGUGUAGCGGUGAAAUGCGUAGAUAUUGGGAGGAACACCAGUGGCGAAGGCGGCUCGCUGGACCGGUUCUGACGCUGAGGCGCGAAAGCGUGGGGAGCAAACGGG
rnacentral:rRNA from 1 species